rnacentral:rRNA from 1 species
AGAGCGAACGCUGGCGGCAGGCCUAACACAUGCAAGUCGAGCGCCCGUAGCAAUACGGGAGCGGCAGACGGGAUAGUAACACGUGGGAACGCGCCCUUCGGUUCGGAAUAACUCAGGGAAACUUGAGCUAAUACCGAAUACGCCCUUACGGGGAAAGAUUUAUUGUCGAAGGAACGGCCCGCGUCCGAUUAGCUAGUUGGUGAGGUAAUGGCUCACCAAGGCUACGAUCGGUAGCUGGUCUGAGAGGAUGACCAGCAUCACUGGGACUGAGACACGGCCCAGACUCCUACGGGAGGCAGCAGUGGGGAAUAUUGGACAAUGGGCGAAAGCCUGAUCCAGCCAUGCCGCGUGGAUGAUGAAGGCCUUAGGGUUGUAAAGUCCUUUAACGGGGAAGAUAAUGACGGUACCGUAGAAUAAGCCCGGCUAACUUCGCGCCAGCAGCCGC